AACGAACGCUGGCGGCAUGCCUAACACAUGCAAGUCGAACGAUGCUUUCGGGCAUAGUGGCGCACGGGUGCGUAACGCGUGGGAAUCUGCCCUUGGGUUCGGAAUAACAGUGAGAAAUUGCUGCUAAUACCGGAUGAUGUCUUCGGACCAAAGAUUUAUCGCCCAGGGAUGAGCCCGCGUAGGAUUAGCUAGUUGGUGGGGUAAUGGCCUACCAAGGCGACGAUCCUUAGCUGGUCUGAGAGGAUGAUCAGCCACACUGGGACUGAGACACGGCCCAGACUCCUACGGGAGGCAGCAGUGGGGAAUAUUGGACAAUGAGCGCAAGCCUGAUCCAGCAAUGCCGCGUGAGUGAUGAAGGCCUUAGGGUUGUAAAGCUCUUUUACCCGGGAUGAUAAUGACAGUACCGGGAGAAUAAGCUCCGGCUAACUCCGUG
rnacentral:rRNA from 1 species